rnacentral:rRNA from 1 species
UACGUAGGGGGCGAGCGUUGCCCGAAGUUACUGGGCGUAAAGAGUGCGUAGGCGGCUUGACAAGUUGCAUCUAAAAGGCGGCAGCUCAACUGACGAGUGCGGUGCAAGACUGUAAAGCUUGAGGCAAGCAAAAGAAUGUGGAACUCCGAGUGUAGCGGUGGAAUGCGUAGAGAUUCGGAAGAACACCCAUGGCGAAGGCAGCAUUCUGGGCUUGACCUGACGCUGAGGCACGAAAGCCAGGGGAGCGAACGGG